rnacentral:rRNA from 1 species
AUGGGUUCCAAAGAAACGCUCUGUCGUAUCCGUACUAUUCUUUGCUUGUUGCUUCUCUUCUGCGUGAGCUGCAAAUGUUCGGCAUCAGAAUUUGAGAUCACACAAGUGGCACGCCUUGGUGUUGAUGCCUCAUCGCACCUUGCUCGAAAGAUCCCUGAUACGCUGUUUGGAAUAUUUUUUGAGGAGAUCAACCAUGCAGGAGCUGGUGGAAUAUGGGCAGAGCUUGUUAGUAAUAGAGGUUUUGAAGCUGGAGGCCCCCAUACUCCAUCAAAUAUUGAACCAUGGUCCAUCAUUGGAGAUGACUCUUCCAUAUUUGUGGGAACAGACCGCACGUCAUGUUUCAGGCGAAACAAGGUUGCUCUAAGAAUGGAGGUUCUCUGUGAUAACUGCCCAGUUGGCGGUGUUGGCAUUUACAACCCUGGGUUCUGGGGCAUGAACAUAGAGGAUGGGAAGACCUACAAUCUAGUUAUGCAUGCCAAGUCACCAGAAAUGAUAGAAAUGACAGUUUCACUAACAAGCUCUGACGGAUUACGAGUUCUGGCUUCAGCUGCCAUACGAGUACCUGGCGGAUCGAAUUGGAUAAAAUUGGACCAGAAGUUGGUUGCUCAAGGAACAGACAGAACCUCAAGACUUCAAAUAACAGCUAAGACAAAGGGAGUUGUAUGGCUUGAUCAAGUAUCACUCAUGCCUUCGGAUACAUACAAGGGGCACGGUUUCCGCACAGAACUCAUAUCCAUGCUUUUGGAUUUAAAACCCCGGUUCUUGAGAUUCCCUGGAGGUUGCUUUGUUGAAGGCAGUUGGUUAAGAAACGCAUUCAGAUGGAGGGACUCUAUAGGUCCAUGGGAAGAGAGGCCUGGACACUAUGGGGAUGUCUGGAAUUACUGGACCGAUGAUGGCCUCGGAUAUUAUGAGUUUCUUCAGCUUUCUGAAGUUCUCGGUGCUGCCCCAGUCUGGGUAUUCAACAAUGGAAUCAGCCACCAUGAUGAAGUUGAUACUACUGCUAUUGCUCCUUUCGUAAAGGAUAUACUGGACAGUCUAGAAUUUGCAAGGGGGAGUGCAGAAUCAACAUGGGGUUCUGUUAGAGCUGCAAUGGGGCAUCCUGAACCAUUCCCAGUCAAAUAUGUUGCAAUCGGAAAUGAAGAUUGUGGGAAAGAAAAUUACCGUGGUAACUACCUUAAGUUCUACAAUGCUAUAAGAGAGGCCUAUCCAGACAUUCAGAUGAUUUCAAAUUGUGAUGGUUCAUCUGGACCACUUGACCAUCCUGCUGAUCUAUAUGAUUUCCAUGUCUAUACCGGUUCCAGGGCACUAUUUUCCAUGAAGAAUACAUUUGACAAUACCUCUCGUAGUGGACCCAAGGCUUUUGUUAGCGAGUAUGCUGUUACAGGAAACGACGCCGGCAGAGGAAGUCUUCUUGCUUCAUUGGCAGAGGCCGCUUUCCUUACUGGGCUGGAGAAGAAUAGUGAUGUUGUUCAUAUGGCAAGCUAUGCACCGCUCUUCAUAAAUGAUAACGACCGCACGUGGAACCCAGACGCUAUCGUCUUCAACUCCUGGCAGCAAUAUGGAACUCCCAGUUACUGGAUGCAGAAGCUUUUCCGUGAAUCAAGCGGUGCUACGAUCCAUCCCAUCAGUCUCAGUUCAAGCUGCUCUGGUUCGCUGGCAGCAUCCGCGAUCACGUGGCAUGAUGACGAUAACAGCUUCCUGAGAGUGAAGAUUGUGAACUUCGGGCCAGAUGCCGUGAGCCUUACGAUCUCGGCAACUGGGCUCCAGAGCAGCAUCAAUGCGCUCGGAUCCACCGCCACCGUUCUCACAUCUGGCAGUGUAAUGGACGAGAACUCUUUCGCUAACCCAAACAAGGUUGUGCCGGUGACGAUCGAGUUGCGUAACGCGUCGGAGGAGAUGGAGGUCACGCUGCCUCCCCACUCUCUGAGUGCAUUCGACCUGGCGCUGGCGCAGUCCAGGCUUGUAGCGGAGAUGUGA